GAAGAGGCUUAAGACUUGAGCUUUCAAUGCAUAGAGUCUAAAAUCAAGUCAGUUUCUAAGCACAACCUCUGUCACAGUACUCCAGCUGAACAAUAGCAACCUUUAGGUAGGGUACUUUAAUCGGCAUGUUAAUGUUGAUGUGCCGAAGGACCAUUCCUGAAUUAAAAGACAACUCUUUACGUCCAAACACAGGGGAAAUGUGCUGGUGUUUUCAUUCCAAUCCAUACAUCCAUCCCAAAGAAGAAACAUUUACAAGACUAAAGCUUUUAGAAACCAAUCCAGACAAGCAGAUUCACUAACAGUUAGUAAUAAUGGGUUUGGAAUUUCUGUUUUUCUAGGUUUUUUUUAGGAUUUGAAAUUUUAGAGAUAUUCGAUUAAAAAAUUUGAAAUAUUAUGUACUACAAAUAUAUUAGAUAUUAACUUACAACUCCUCAUAAUUGGAGCCCUCUGUUUCAGGUUCCCAGUCAUGGUCAUCCACAUCACAUUUCUAAAAACCAAUCCUUGUCCAGGCAAGUUGUCAGGAUUGUGGGUAUAUAUUCAGGGCAGAAGACGAAUUUCUUCUUUUAAGGCUUGUGAAACAGUUGCGACAAAAGUCACAAUUGAGAGUUUUUUCUCCUUUUGCAGCCAUUUUAAUCUUAUUACGUAUACAUCUUGCCUUCCAAUAGGUAGGCAAAUUUACCUAGGUUACUUUUGAAACUUUUUAUCUACAUCUUUCAAACCACAACAAGGUAAGGUUCACAUUUUAACUUCUAAUGAAUGUUUUUAUCAUAUAUACAUCACUUUGUUUUCUUUUACAAACUCUCCCUAGUUAACCACUUGCCAUGUGAUUGUUCCUAAAUAUUUCAGAGAAAAAUGAGACAUAAAAGGGUUUGUCCAGAAACAGAAGCUUUGCAUUUCACUUCUUCUGGGAGGGAUAAAGACACAUUUUACAAAAGAUUCAUCAACAAGGAGAAAGGACCAACUCCAUUCAUCGCAUAGCAGUCCACAACUACCAGAAAAGAUCUCACAGACAUCUCACAGAGUGUUAUCUGUGUUUACCCAGAAAUGACUGACACUCACCUGAGUCACAUUCCAGAGGAAUUAUGCAUUGGUGAAAUGAUCCAGUCAGAGCAGAAAAAUGUUCCAGGAGAACAAACAGAACAACACCAUGAAGUAAAAAACCAAGGACAAGAUACACAUACAGACAUACUCUGUUCAUCACAUACCAGUACACAAACAACAGAUGAGAUGGAUAACUUAGAGAGUAUACUCAGUAUUCACCAAGAAAUGACUGGCACUAACCUGAGGGAUGAGUAUUUAUAAACAUGUUGCAGCUCAAGAGGAGUAUUGCGACUCAGAUGCAGAUGUCCAGUCUGUGCAGAGUACUACCACAUGUCAAGAAGGCAAGAUCUUAGGUUGCAUGCAGUGUAUAACACUAACAAUGUAAA